AGGUCUGCCCCCGGGCAGGCCUAACCUCCCACCCGUGAAUACCUGACCAACGUUGCUUCGGCGGUGCGCCCCCCCCCGGGGGUAGCCGCCGGAGACCACACCGAACCUCCUGUCUUUAGUGUUGUCUGAGCUUGAUAGCAAACCUAUUAAAACUUUCAACAAUGGAUCUCUUGGUUCCGGCAUCGAUGAAGAACGCAGCGAACUGCGAUAAGUAAUGUGAAUUGCAGAAUUCAGUGAAUCAUCGAGUCUUUGAACGCACAUUGCGCCCCCUGGCAUUCCGGGGGGCAUGCCUGUCCGAGCGUCAUUGCUGCCCUUCAAGCCCGGCUUGUGUGUUGGGUCGUCGUCCCCCCCGGGGGACGGGCCCGAAAGGCAGCGGCGGCACCGCGUCCGGUCCUCGAGCGUAUGGGGCUUUGUCACCCGCUCGAUUAGGGCCGGCCGGGCGCCAGCCGGCGUCUCCAACCUUCUAUUUUACCAGGUUGACCUCGGAUCAGGUAGGGAUACCCGCUGAACUUAAGCA
rnacentral:rRNA from 1 species